UUGACAGUUUGGCUUCCCUGUUCUGGGUGGCAAAGCCUGUGGAGUACUCACCUACCUGCUGCAUGAAGGCAGCAUGGAGGGACUGUGGUGGAUUAUCUGCAAAGAUGGCCAAAAUUCUCUCAUCCCUGCAGGCACAUACAAGACUAGGCAUUGCUCUCUGAUCAGAAGAGUCAAUCCUGGUGAGUUUAACUUGAGCCUCAGAAUCCUACUCAACACAAAGUUCCAGGGAGAAGCGAUUAUCAAUGCCAAUACCUUAGAGAUAGUACUGGCUGUGGAAUCUGUCAUCCCUUGACUAGAAUGAGGAAGAAAGAUGAAGAAUGAGGAGGAAGAAGGGAGGAACAAGAGAGAGAGGUAAAGACAACAAACAGAACAGACCUACAUUUGCAGCAUCUCCAAGUUUCUGCAACAGCAUUAUGUUGUUGUUAUGUUUUGUUUUAAUAAAAGCACAUACCAUUUUU
rnacentral:lncRNA from 1 species